rnacentral:rRNA from 1 species
GACGAACGCUGGCGGCGUGCCUAAUACAUGCAAGUCGAGCGGACGGAUGGGAGCUUGCUCCCAGACCGUCAGCGGCGGACGGGUGAGUAACACGUGGGCAACCUGCCUGUAAGACUGGGAUAACUCCGGGAAACCGGGGCUAAUACCGGAUAACUCUUUCCCUCACAUGAGGGAAAGCUGAAAGAUGGCAUCUCGCUAUCACUUACAGAUGGGCCCGCGGCGCAUUAGCUAGUUGGUGAGGUAACGGCUCACCAAGGCGACGAUGCGUAGCCGACCUGAGAGGGUGAUCGGCCACACUGGGACUGAGACACGGCCCAGACUCCUACGGGAGGCAGCAGUAGGGAAUCUGCCGCAAUGGACGAAAGUCUGACGGAGCAACGCCGCGUGAGUGAUGAAGGUUUUCGGAUCGUAAAACUCUGUUGUCAGGGAAGAACAAGUACCGGAGUAACUGCCGGUACCUUGACGGUACCUGACCAGAAAGCCACGGCUAACUACGUG